rnacentral:rRNA from 1 species
AACGAACGCUGGCGGCAGGCUUAACACAUGCAAGUCGAACGAACAUGAGCCUUAGCAAUAAGGAGUUCUGUUAGUGGCGCACGGGUGAGUAACACGUGGGAACAUGCCUUUGAGUACGGAAUAACAGCGGGAAACUGCUGCUAAUGCCGUAUAUUCCCUGAGGGGGAAAGAUUUAUCGCUCAAAGAUUGGCCCGCGUCUGAUUAGCUAGUUGGUGGGGUAAUGGCCUACCAAGGCGACGAUCAGUAGCUGGUCUGAGAGGACGAUCAGCCACACUGGGACUGAGACACGGCCCAGACUCCUACGGGAGGCAGCAGUAAGGAAUAUUGCGCAAUGGGCGAAAGCCUGACGCAGCGACGCCGCGUGGGGGAUGAAGGUCUUCGGAUUGUAAACCCCUUUCGGGAGGGAAGAUGGAGCGAGCAAUCGUUCGGACGGUACCUCCAGAAGCAGCCACGGCCAACUUCGUGCCAGCAGCCGCGGUAA